CAUCUCUGUUAAUUCCGGUUGAUCCUGCCGGACCAGACUGCUGUUGGAGUUCGACUAAGCCAUGCAAGUCUUCCGGAAGGAGGCGAAAGGCUGAGUAACACGUAGGUAACCUACCUUAUGGAGGGGCAUACCCUCGGGAAACUGAGGAUAAUUCCCCAUAGGAUUUGGUGACUGGAAUGUCCCAAAACCCAAAGCUUCGGCGCCAUAAGAUGGGCCUGCGGCCUAUCAGGUUGUUGGCGGGGUAAUGGCCCACCAAGCCUUUGACGGGUAGGGGCAGUGAGAGCUGAAGCCCCCAGACGGGCACUGAGAUACUGGCCCGAGCCUUACGGGGUGCAGCAGGCGCGAAACCUUUACAAUGCACGCAAGUGUGAUAAGGGAACUCCAAGUGCCAUUGCUUUUUGCAAUGGCUUUUUUUGAGUGUAAACAGCUCUAGGAAUAAGAGCUGGGUAAGACAGGUGCCAGCAGCCGCGGUAAUACCUGCAGCUCAAGUGGUCUGGAUUUUUAUUGGGUCUAAAGCGUUUGUAGCCGGACUCGCAAGUCUUCUGUGAAAUCUGACGGCUUAACCGUCAGGCGUGCAGGGGAAACUACAAGUCUAGGGACCGGGAAGGGCCAAAGAUACUCUAGGGGUAGGGGUGAAAUCCAAUAAUCCUUAGGGGAUCGCCAGUGGCGAAGGCGUUUGGCUAGAACGGGUCCGACGGUGAGGGACGAAAGCUAGGGGAGCGAACGGGAUUAGAUACCCCGGUAGUCCUAGCCGUAAAUGAUGUGGACUAGGUGUUGCAUUCCCCUUGUGGGAAUGCAGUGCCGAAGGGAAGCCGUUAAGUUCACCACCUGGGAAGUACGGUCGCAAGGCCGAAACUUAAAGGAAUUGACGGGGGAGCACAACAAGGGGUGGAGUCUGCGGUUUAAUUGGAUUAAACGCCGGAAAUCUCACCGGGAGCGACAACAGUAUGAAGGUCAGGCUGACGGUCUUACUCGACUCGUUGAGAGGUGGUGCAUGGCCGCCGUCAGUUCGUGCCGUAAGGUGUUCUGUUAAGUCAGAUAACGAACGAGACCCAUGCCAUUAGUUGCUAUCUGUUCCUUAGGGGGCAGAGCACUCUAAUGGGACCGCUGCUGCUAAAGCAGAGGAAGGUGUGGGCAACGGUAGGUCAGUAUGCCCCGAAUCUCCCGGGCUACACGCGGACUACAAUGGUUGAAACAAUGGGCUGCUACGCCGAGAGGCGACGCUAAUCUCUAAAUUCAAUCCAAGUUCGGAUCGAGGGCUGUAACCCGCCCUCGUGAAGCCGGAAUCCCCAGUAAUCGGACGUCACUAUCGUCCGGUGAAUAUGUCCCUGCUCCUUGUACACACCGCCCGUCAAAUCACCCGAGUUAGGUCUGGAUGAGGCCUCAGUUUUUGCUGAGGUCGAAUAUGGGCUUAGCAAGGGGGGUUAAGUCGUAACAAGGUAUCCGUAGGGGAACCUGCGGAUAGAUCACCUCCUAAG
rnacentral:rRNA from 1 species